GACGAACGCUGGCGGCGUGCUUAACACAUGCAAGUCGAACGGAAAGGCCCCUUCGGGGGUACUCGAGUGGCGAACGGGUGAGUAACACGUGAGUAACCUGCCCUUGACUUCGGGAUAACUUCAGGAAACUGGGGCUAAUACCGGAUAGGAAUCCUUGCUGCAUGGUGGGGGUUGGAAAGCUUCGGCGGUUUUGGAUGGACUCGCGGCUUAUCAGCUUGUUGGUGGGGUAGUGGCUUACCAAGGCUUUGACGGGUAGCCGGCCUGAGAGGGCGACCGGCCACAGUGGGACUGAGAUACGGCCCAGACUCCUACGGGAGGCAGCAGUGGGGAAUAUUGCACAAUGGGCGGAAGCCUGAUGCAGCAACGCCGCGGGCGGGAUGACGGCCUUCGGGUUGUAAACCGCUUUCAGCAGGGGCGAAGCUUGUGGUGACGGUACCUGCAGAAGAAGCACCGGCUAACUACGUG
rnacentral:rRNA from 1 species